GGGACUGGAAUAUUCUGCUAUGCAUGUCCUUUUCGUUUGGCCGUCGAGAAAAUGAAGUAAAUCAAAAUAAAUUUAAUGGAGUUGUCUAAAUGGCCGAAAAAGUCAAAAAAUUUCUAUUAAAUUUUCGAAAAUAAUUGUCAGUCGUUUUCUGUAUUAAUCACUGGGACUUCUGUGUCUGGAAAUUAAAUCUGAAAUAUGAUAUUCAUUUGACACAAAUACUGAUUUUCUUUUUUUGCCGACAAUUUUUUGUGGCUUAAUAAAUCUGGAGUACAUCUCCAUGAACUUUUCUUCAACUUAUUGUCCAUGGAUGGGCUUGAUAUCAUCAGAAUAAAGGGAUCUUAUUUGUUGCAAUUGAUCAAAGCAGGCCCCUUACAGAUCAAGGUCCUUUUGACAUUGUGUUGCAUAAGCUGACUGGAAAGGAGUGGGGGCAAAUUCUCGAGGACUACAGAAGGACGCAUCCAGAAGUCACUGUUCUUGAUCCUCCAGAUGCUAUUCAACAUUUACACAAUCGCCAGUCCAUGCUUCAGUGUGUUGCUGAUAUGAAUUUGUCAAACCCUUAUGGGAGAGUUGAUAUUCCCAGGCAAUUAGUUAUA